rnacentral:tRNA from 1 species
GAGGGUAUAGCUCAAGUGGUAGAGAACAUGUUUUGCAUGCAUAGGGUUCUGGGUUCAAUCCCUACUACCUCCA